rnacentral:rRNA from 1 species
GACGAACGCUGGCGGCGUGCCUAAUACAUGCAAGUCGAACGCAUUUUCUUUCACCGUAGCUUGCUACACCGAAAGAAAAUGAGUGGCGAACGGGUGAGUAACACGUGGGUAACCUGCCCAUCAGCGGGGGAUAACACUUGGAAACAGGUGCUAAUACCGCAUAAUUCCAUUUACCGCAUGGUAGAUGGAUGAAAGGCGCUUUUGCGUCACUGAUGGAUGGACCCGCGGUGCAUUAGCUAGUUGGUGGGGUAACGGCCUACCAAGGCUGCGAUGCAUAGCCGCCCUGAGAGGGUGAUCGGCCACACUGGGACUGAGACACGGCCCAGACUCCUACGGGAGGCAGCAGUAGGGAAUCUUAGGCAAUGGACGCAAGUCUGACCGAGCAACGCCGCGUGAGUGAAGAAGGUUUUCGGAUCGUAAAACUCUGUUGUUAGAGAAGAACAAGGAUGAGAGUGGAAAGUUCAUCCCUUGACGGUAUCUAACCAGAAAGCCACGGCUAACUACGUG